rnacentral:rRNA from 1 species
UACGAAGGGGGCUAGCGUUGCUCGGAAUGACUGGGCGUAAAGGGCGCGUAGGCGGAUGGUACAGUCAGAUGUGAAAUUCCCGGGCUUAACCUGGGGGCUGCAUUUGAUACGUGUUGUCUAGAGUGAGGAAGAGGGUCGUGGAAUUCCCAGUGUAGAGGUGAAAUUCGUAGAUAUUGGGAAGAACACCGGUGGCGAAGGCGGCGACCUGGUCCUUUACUGACGCUGAGGCGCGAAAAGCGUGGGGGAGCAAACAGGG